UAAAAGGAAUGAGAAUUACCUGCAGUAACGUGCGUGAGAUCACGAGCGGAAAAGAAAUGCGAAGCAAACUGUGAAACUCUGAACCACACUCUUCUAGUGCUUAUGCUCAAUGAUUCCUGGCCUGAGAUGACGCAACAUCUUCACUUUUCGGUGGCCGGAGCAGCCUUGAUGACGGUGUAGUGCUGAAAGUGACGAUUGAAGGUUAUUCUGCAUGCGGAUUCACGCCAUAAUUCUCCCGACGAAUUCGUAUCUUCCUUCUCCUUUGUUUUUCAAUUCGAUUUUUACUUGUAAAAUGGUUGUUGUAUUGGUUUUUUGUUGGUUCAGAGUUUCAUAUUCGAAACCAAGAUUUGUUAUGUGUUCAGCUCAAAAUUCUGUGUGAAACCCUGUUACGGUAUGCAACUCGGUUCAACAGUGCGAUUUGGUACGGUUCAAGCACAACUUCGAUGCGAUUUAGAGUUUGUUUUGUGUUUCAAAUUCUUCUCCUUCUCCACCGUGAUGUUGUUGCUGAUUGGAGCUCUAUUUUGCCUUGUGAAUUGACGUUUCAUAACUUACACACCAAGUGUUGGGUGAAAUGUAUGAACCGAAAUCUAUCGCUUUUCUAUCUUGAAAUUUCUUGAUUGCAGGUCUGUGACACUGUUAUCGUGUUGUGAUCAAUUGUGGUCGGCGAAUUCUUGGAGAAUUGGUGUUGUAUCAACCAUUUUGCAACUUGCACGCCAAAUGUUUGGUGAUGAUGAUCAAGGUUAAAGAAUGAUGAUUUUGGAGAUACUUGAAGUUUGCGAAGGUUUGUUGAAUGAUGAAGGAGGUUGCAGAUUGAUGAUGAUACUUGAUGUUUGAUGAUGCUUGAAGUUGGAGAAGAUGAAUCUUGAUGAAGUUUGAAGUUUGGAGGUUUUAAGGAAUUUGGAGAGAAUUUGUGAUUUUGUAACUUUUUUUGGUGGAUUUUUUAUUAUGAAAUGGUUGAAGAAAUUUGGCGAUUUGUUGAAAGUUUAAUAUGGAUGAGGAUAUUUGAAGAAUCAAGGUUGAAGAAGGGUGAUGGUGAAGUUGUGAAGACGAUGAGUUUGGGAGAUGAAGAUGGUGUAAAUGACAAAAAAUGAUGAAUUGUGAUUUUGGUAGUUUUUGUGAAUAGUGAUUAACCUCCUUCAUGGUGAGAAUGAUGAAGUUUAAAUAGAAAAAAUGGAGGGAAAGUUAGUUAUGGAAUAUUGAGGCUUAGCCAUUGGAUAAUGAUCUUUGUGAUGAGCUUAAGAGUGACUAUGAUUGAUUCAAAUUGUGUUAGUUUGGAGGGAUUAAUGUAGUUUUGGGUAGUUAGAAAUGAAAUGCAAAUGAAAUAUAAAUUUUGUGUUUGUUUGAAAUGAAAGUGAAUUUCAUUUGAUUUACUUGAAAUGUAAUGUAAAUGCAAAUGUGAAUUAAAUUUUAAUUGAGAUACAAAUGUAAA